UGGGAUGUAGCUCAGUGGUAGAGUGAUCACCUAGUAUGUGCAAGACCCUGGCUUCCAUCCCCAGUACCACAA
rnacentral:tRNA from 1 species